rnacentral:rRNA from 1 species
UACGUAGGGUCCGAGCGUUGUCCGGAAUCACUGGGCGUAAAGAGCUCGUAGGUGGUUUGUCGCGUUGUUCGUGAAAACUCACAGCUCAACUGUGGGCGUGCGGGCGAUACGGGCAGACUGGAGUACUGCAGGGGAGACUGGAAUUCCUGGUGUAGCGGUGGAAUGCGCAGAUAUCAGGAGGAACACCGGUGGCGAAGGCGGGUCUCUGGGCAGUAACUGACGCUGAGGAGCGAAAGCGUGGGGAGCGAACAGG